UUUAUAUUUAAAUAAUGUAAAUGAAAAAUUAAAAUUUCCACAUCAAUUCAACACAAAUUCUCAAAUUUAAGUAUAAAUUACACAAAUCCAUUUAAAAAACACAAACUAGUAUCUAAAAAUAAUAAUUACAUUUCAUAUUAUCAUUUAAAACAAGCUCCAAGAGAAGAUAUUCAUUUCAUUCACCACCAUAAGCAUCCAUCCAACACAAUGCCUAUAAUAAUAAUUAAGAUUAAUAUUUUCAAAUACUAAUUUGAAGGAAAAUACCUUUAGUUUUCUUUAGAUUGUGACUUUAGAACAAGAUAUAGGCCACAUACACACAUACACAACUUUGAGCCUUUGGCUAUUUGGUAAUUUAAUUAAUGACAUUAUUUUCUUUAUACAUUUUUAGAUUAAAAUUAAAUUAAAAAUAUUUGAAAAAAAUAUUACGGGUUUGGUGGAUAUCCAUGCGGGUAUCCACCGAAUAUAAAGUUAAUACCAAACCCACCCGCAUCUAUGUGAGGGUUUUAAUUUAUAAUACUAAACCCGCCCGCAACGGACGGGUUUUAGCGGGUGGAUUUGAGCGGGUUUGCGGGUACAAUUGCCAUCCCUAACCAUGAAACACACUAACAUAGUGCAAAGUGAUUAUUAUUAGUACUGUUCAUAUUUUUUUAUUUGCUGAUGAACAAGGAAACAAUUUGCUAAGAUUGGCAGUGGUUGAAAACCUUCAGAGUAGAGCCGUUAAAAAAUUAUUAACUUUAUGUUCAUGUCCAUUCAUUCGAAUUAAUCUUGCUGAGGAGUUGACCAUUGAUUAUUAAAUGUUCAUCUCUUCACUUUGGAUUUUAAAUAUCAACUAAAAUUCCGACCUUGAGUCAAAAAGAGAGUGAAGCUGUUAUGUUAGCAACAUUCCAAAACUCUCAUAAUACCUCAUGUUUUUGUACUUACCAUUUUGACUUCAAUUUCAAUUAGGUUAGGAAAAUACAUUUCUUAGUACAACAACGUUAUCCUCAAUGGCGCGUUAAGAAAGUUUGACCUUAAUUUCAAUUAUAUUAGAAAAAUAAAUUUCCAACCAAAGCUUAGGGGAAGCUGCAAAGCCUCGUUAUCUUCAAUAGCGUAGAGAAAUUUAAGGGGUUUUGAGGCUAAAAAUUGAAAACUAAAGGUUGGCUACGAAUGUGCCUUGAUGAUAUGGAGAUUCUUCCUUUAGGAAAUACUGUUUCCAUAUCAUUUCCUGUUGAACAAGAAAUCUUUAGUGAAAAUCAUCACCAAUAAUUAGGAAUAUUCAUGUUUUAUCACCAAGAAUUAAUAACGAAUUAUGCAGAAGCGUACUUGAAUCCAUAACGCUGAAUUGUUCUUUAGGAUUGUGUGGUUGAUAUUCCAAAUCAACACAUUCUCUUAAAGAAUUAUUUGAUACUCUUUGCGCUCUCUCUCUAAAGAUAGAAUGUCAGUAGAGAAUAGAAUGAUACGUGUGACGUGGAGACCAUAACUACUUAUAUAGACAACUUUUUUUCUAUUGUCAUUGGGUAUUCCUAAUUCUGCUCAUCAUAUAAUUAGAAUACAAUUAGAUCUCUACACAUUAAAGGCGCACACCCUGUCAGAUACAUUAAAGUCUAUAAUAUUGAAAACCUUAAUAGAUAACUUUUAAUUAGAUUUAACCAUAUAUGACAGAUUGCAACACAUAAUUAUUCACAUAUAAACUCAGUGUUGGAUUAAGGAUCCAACAAUGUCAAAUUAAAAAAUCCAAUAUUUUCAUCUUUUUUUGAGAUUUUUUAUAACCAAAAAAUUUCAUUUUCUCAGUUUAAUCUAAACAAAAAAAAGAGCAAACUUGCAUCAUUAUUGUUGACACAGUUCUAGUCACUUGGAGAAAUAAAUCAGUGGAGUCGAUAAUAAACGAGAUACAAAAAUUUAUGUGGUAUGAGUAAUUUCACUAUUGAAUAAGUGUUACAAUUGAAUCUUUUUUGUUUACUUAUUUGCUCAUGUCCUUACUAUGUAUUAAGAGUUUUCUAUUUACAAUAUAACUUAGAUGACUCGAAUUCUCGAUAACUCUGCAUUCUGAUGAUCUUUAUCAUUUAAUUGGAGUUUUAUUUGAUGUCAAGAUUUAUAUUCAACAUCCAUCUCCUUCUCAAACUAAGCUUUAUUUAACGGUAACAUUUAUUUCUUUCCCAAGCUGAUUUUAAUAACCAUGAAUGAGACUUUUAUUGGGCUUAGAAAAGGUUUUCAAUUACUAGGCUCUCACACUAUCAUGUUCCCAUAUGGUUGUGUUCUCCUGUAGCUAUACUCUCUCUUGUAGUUGCUUAUCUGACUUAUUAAGCUUCCAAUUGCUGAGCUCUCACGCUAUUAUGUUCUUUUAUAGCUAUGUUCUCCUACAGUCAUGUUCUUGUACAAUUAUGCUUAUUUGAUUUAUGAAGCUUCUAGCUAUUUAGCUUCCAUGCCAUUAUGCUCUCUUAUAUCUAUGUCCUUCUACAAUCAUGAUUUCCUACAAUUGUGCUUAUUUGGCUUAUUAAACUUCUAGCUACUUGGGUUGGCAAAACCUUGGUCUGGGUCUAAGUAUUGCAAUGCCCGAACCCCGCCAUCGGGCCUGGGUACAAACCCAUAUUUUGUAUUUUUUAAUAUUAAAUAUGUAUAUUUUUUGUGUAAUUUA
rnacentral:lncRNA from 1 species